rnacentral:misc_RNA from 1 species
AGGGCUCACAAUAACAGCUCCAAUAGGCAUGUAACCCGAGGAAAGUGCCUUUGCAAGAGAUACAAGAUCCGGUUUAAUAUUGUAUUUAUCGCAUCCAAACAUUGUCCCUAGUCUUCCAAAGGCACAUAUUACCUCAUCCGCAACAAAAAGUAUAUCAUACUUCUUGACCACAGCUUGGAUCUUCUCAAAAUAAGUAGCUGGUGGAGGAAUCACACCACCAGCCCCCAUGACAGGUUCAGCUAUGAACGCAGCAAUCGUCUCUGGUCCCUCCUUGAUUAUAAGGUCUUCUAAGUUUUUGGCUAAUCUGGUUGAGAACUCUUCCUCUGUCUCACCUGGAAGAUGGUAACGCCAGUAAUGUGGACAAUCAGUGUGCAGAACGAAUGGAGCUGGAAUGUCAAACUUCUGGUGCAGAGCUGGAAGGCCAGUAAGACUAGCUGAUAUUAAUGUUGAACCAUGGUACGCCUUUGAGCGAGCAAUGAACUUUUUCUUAUUUGGUCUUCCAAGUGCAUUGUUAUAGUACCAUACCAGCUUGACCUGAGUAUCAUUGGCUUCUGAACCACUGUUCACAAAAAAUACUUUCCCCAUUUUUCUUGCUGUAAACAUUCCGAGCAGUUCCUUUGCCAGAUCCAAAGAAGGCCUUGUAGUACGAUUCCAAAAGGAGU